rnacentral:rRNA from 1 species
AUGGAGCUGCUAUCGCAUGAGGAUUUCAUGUUGGUUGCGGUGACUCUUUGGACCAUUUGGCACUCAAGGCGUAAGGCGCUCCAUGAAGCUAUAUUCCAAAGUCCCCACGCAAGCAACUCAUGGAUUCAUCACAAGAUUUAUAGAUGACCUUGGCAUUGUCAACGAGAAAAAUCAAAGAGGGGCGACGACAGUCAUCACACGCGAUCACGUGCAUCCACAACAGGACAUUUCAAGAUACAUGUGGAUGCUGGAGUGGCAGGUAGAAGAGGAGGAUCAGUUGCGGCAAUUUGUAGAGAUGAAGAAGGAAAUUACAUGGGGAGCUCGGCCCUUGUUGUUGAAGGGGUCACGGACCCAGCCUCCCUUGAAGCGAUGGCAUGCCGGGAGGCCUUGGCCCUGGCAGAGGAUCUUGGAAUCCAAAACCUGGUGGUGGCUUCAGAUUGCCAAUAGGUAGUAUCCGACAUCAACAAAAACGCUAGGGGAAUGUAUGGAGCGAUUGUCAGCGAGAUUAAUCUCAGAGCACCUCCCUUGUAUUGUACUUUUGUUUUUGAGAGUCGUGCUGUCAAUGUUGAAGCACAUCAGUUAGCAAAGUUUUCUUUUUCUAGAGGUCCAGGACGCCACGUCUGGUUUAGUGCUCCUCAUGAUGUCAGAUGUAUCCUACUUCAUGUGGGAUUUCAUGAAUAA